rnacentral:rRNA from 1 species
CUCAGGAUGAACGCUGGCGGCGUGCUUAACACAUGCAAGUCGAACGGGGAUCCCUGGCAGCUUGCUGCCGGGGUGAGAGUGGCGAACGGGUGAGUAAUGCGUGACCAACCUGCCCCAUGCACCGGAAUAGCUCCUGGAAACGGGUGGUAAUGCCGGAUGCUCCGCGCCCCUGCAUGGGGGUGUGGGAAAGGCUUUUGCGGCAUGGGAUGGGGUCGCGUCCUAUCAGCUUGUUGGCGGGGUGACGGCCCACCAAGGCGUUGACGGGUAGCCGGCCUGAGAGGGUGACCGGCCACAUUGGGACUGAGAUGCGGCCCAGACUCCUACGGGAGGCAGCAGUGGGGAAUAUUGCACAAUGGGCGCAAGCCUGAUGCAGCGACGCCGCGUGCGGGAUGGAGGCCUUCGGGUUGUAAACCGCUUUUGUUCAAGGGCAAGGCACGGUUUCGGCCGUGUUGAGUGGAUUGUUCGAAUAAGCACCGGCUAACUACGUGCCAGCAGCCGCGGUAAUACGUAGGGUGCAAGCGUUAUCCGGAUUUAUUGGGCGUAAAGGGCUCGUAGGCGGUUCGUCGCGUCCGGUGUGAAAGUCCAUCGCUUAACGGUGGAUCCGCGCCGGGUACGGGCGGGCUUGAGUGCGGUAGGGGAGACUGGAAUUCCCGGUGUAACGGUGGAAUGUGUAGAUAUCGGGAAGAACACCAGUGGCGAAGGCGGCCUACUGGGCACCAACUGACGCUGAGCCUAGAAGGUGUGGGUAGCAAACAGG